rnacentral:rRNA from 1 species
GACGAACGCUGGCGGCGUGCUUAACACAUGCAAGUCGAACGGAAAGGCCCUGCUUUUGUGGGGUGCUCGAGUGGCGAACGGGUGAGUAACACGUGAGUAACCUGCCCUUGACUUUGGGAUAACUUCAGGAAACUGGGGCUAAUACCGGAUAGGAGCUCCUGCUGCAUGGUGGGGGUUGGAAAGUUUCGGCGGUUGGGGAUGUACUCGCGGCUUAUCAGCUUGUUGGUGGGGUAGUGGCUUACCAAGGCUUUGACGGGUAGCCAGCCUGAGAGGGUGACCGGGCACGUGGGGACUGACACACGGACAUGAGCACUACGGGAGGCAGCAGUAGGGAAGGGGCCGCAAUGGGGGGAAACCUGACGGAGCGACGCCGCGUGAGUGAUGAAGGUCCUCGGAGCGGAAAACGCUGUUGUGAGGGAAAAACCAUUGUGGAAGGAACGAGGCGCGGCUUGACGGUACCGAAUAAGAAAGCCACGGCUAACUACGGG